rnacentral:tRNA from 6 species
CGGGGCGUGGCGCAGCUUGGUAGCGCAUCUGCUUUGGGAGCAGAGGGUCGCAGGUUCAAAUCCUGUCGCCCCGA